GCCAGACUCCUACGGGAGGCAGCAGUGGGGAAUAUUGGACAAUGGGGGGAACCCUGAUGCAGCGACGCCGCGUGGGUGAAGGAGCGUUUCGGCGCGUAAAGCCCUAUCGGCAGGGAAGAAGGAGGACGGUACCUGACUAAGAAGCCCCGGCUAACUACGUGCCAGCAGCCGCGGUAAUACGUAGGGGGCAAGCGUUAUCCGGAUUUACUGGGUGUAAAGGGGGCGCAGACGGCAGCGCAAGCCAGGAGUGAAAGCCCGGGGCCCAACCCCGGGACUGCUCUUGGAACUGCGCGGCUGGAGUGCAGGAGGGGCAGGCGGAAUUCCUGGUGUAGCGGUGAAAUGCGUAGAUAUCAGGAGGAACACCGGUGGCGAAGGCGGCCUGCUGGACCGUGACUGACGUUGAGGCUCGAGAGCGUGGGGAGCAAACAGGAUUAGAUACCCGCGUAC
rnacentral:rRNA from 1 species